rnacentral:rRNA from 1 species
UACCAGCACCCCGAGUGGUCGGGACGAUUAUUGGGCCUAAAGCAUCCGUAGCCGGUCCUACAAGUCUUCCGUUAAAUCCACCUGCUUAACAGAUGGGCUGCGGAAGAUACUAUAGGGCUAGGAGGCGGGAGAGGCAAGCGGUACUCAGUGGGUAGGGGGUAAAAUCCUCUGAUCCACUGAAGACCACCAGGUGGCGAAGGCGGCUUGCCAGAACGCGCUCGACGGUGAGGGAUGAAAGCUGGGGGAGCAAAGCCGGG